rnacentral:rRNA from 1 species
CGCCUGUUUUUCAAAAACAUGGCCUUGUAUAUAUGCAAGGUCUGGCCUGCCCACUGAUUAUUUGAAGGGCCGUGGUAUUUUAACCAUGCGAAGGUAGCAUAAUCAUUUGCCUUUUAAUUGAGGGCUGGAAUGAAGGGUCGUUCGAGGGAUUAACUGUCUCUAACCUUUAUUUGAAAUUAAUCUUUUAGUGAAAAAGCUAAACUAUACUUGAAGGACGAUAAGACCCUAUAGAUCUUUAUAGAAACAAAAUUAGAAAUUGGCUGUAAGUUCUUUUUGCCCCUUCUAUUGAGUUGGGGCGACGCUAUAUGAAGAUAUAACAUUUAGUUUAUUUUAACACUUACAUGUGAUGACAAGAUCCUGGGAUGAGAAAAGGAGAUAGUUACCUUAGGGAUAACAGCGUAAUGGUUUUUGAAAGUUCAAAUUGACAAAACCGUUUACGACCUCGAUGUUGGUUCAGGGAUCCUAUUUAGCGCAGUAGCUUUAUAAGGGAGUCUGUUCGACUUUUAAAUCCCUACAUGAUCUGAUUUCAAACCGG